rnacentral:pre_miRNA from 1 species
GUUUAUGAGAGUAUUAUAAGUCACUGCAUUUUGGUAAGCAGCAUGGAGUUUGCUUCCUAGACGAAGUGACUUAUAAUAUUCUCAUGAAU